CAAGUCGAACGAAGCACCUUUUUUGGAUCCCUUCGGGGUGAAGCAUUUGGUGACUUAAUGGCGAACGGGUGAGUAACACGUGGGUGACCUGCCCCGAAGUGCGGCAUAACAGGGGGAAACUCCUGCUAAUUCCGCAUGUGCUCCCACCUCUUGUGGUGUGAGUAAAGAUUUAUCGCUUCCGGAUGGGCCCGCGGUCCAUCAGCUAGUUGGUGGGGUAAAAGCCUACCAAGGCGACGAUCUUUAGCUGGUCUGAGAGGAUGAUCAGCCACACUGGACUGAGACACGGCCCAGACUCCUACGGGAGGCAGCAGUGGGGAAUAUUGGACAAUGGGCGAAAGCCUGAUCCAGCAAUGCCGCGUGAGUGAUGAAGGCCCUAGGGUUGUAAAGCUCUUUUACCCGGGAUGAUAAUGACAGUACCGGGAGAAUAAGCUCCGGCUAACUCCGUGCCAGCAGCCGCGGUAAUACGGAGGGAGCUAGCGUUGUUCGGAAUUACUGGGCGUAAAGCGCGCGUAGGCGGUUUUCCAAGUCAGGGGUGAAAGCCCGGGGCUCAACCCCGGAAUAGCCCUUGAAACUGGAAGACUAGAAUCUUGCAGAGGUCAGUGGAAUUCCGAGUGUAGAGGUGAAAUUCGUAGAU
rnacentral:rRNA from 1 species